UACGUAGGGUGCGAGCGUUGUCCGGAUUUAUUGGGCGUAAAGAGCUCGUAGGCGGCUCGUCGCGUCGACCGUGAAAACCCGCGGCUUAACUGCGGGCUUGCGGUUGAUACGGGCGGGCUAGAGUUCGGUAGGGGAGACUGGAAUUCCUGGUGUAGCGGUGAAAUGCGCAGAUAUCAGGAGGAACACCGGUGGCGAAGGCGGCUCACUGGCCCGAUACUGACGCUGAGGUGCGAAAGCGUGGGGAGCAAACAGG
rnacentral:rRNA from 1 species